rnacentral:snRNA from 1 species
GGACGUGAGGGUGAUCUGGCUGAAACGUCUGUCACCCCUCUCAUCUCCAGGGUUGAUUCGGCUGAUCUGGAUGGUUAGGCAGGUGUCCUUUUCCUCUCUUAACGCUUCACGUGCGUCCCUCCUGAAGCUGUUUGCUUGGUCAUAGAGGACGACCUUUCCUGAUAGAGGAGGACCGUUCUUUUCUGUCAGGGUAUAGGAGUAGCUGUGCUCCUCUGCUAGAACCUCCAAACAAGCUCUCAAGUUCCAUUAUAGACACCUAUUAACUUAUUUAUUCAAUUCUAACAUGCAUGUAUGGUGGUUUCAGGAUAGUUGACUGGUACCUUCAU